rnacentral:rRNA from 1 species
UACAGAGGGGGCAAGCGUUGUUCGGAAUUACUGGGCGUAAAGGGCGCGUAGGCGGCCUUCUAAGUCGAACGUGAAAUCCCCGGGCUCAACCCGGGAACUGCGUCCGAGACUGGAAGGCUCGAAUCCGGGAGAGGGAUGUGGAAUUCCAGGUGUAGCGGUGAAAUGCGUAGAUAUCUGGAGGAACAUCGGUGGCGAAGGCGGCUACCUGGACCGGAUAUUGACGCUGAGACGCGAAAGCGUGGGGAGCAAACAGG